UAAAAUCACAUUUUGAGAUAAAAGUUACAUUGCGUGAAAUAAAGUCACUGGUACAAGAAACGAAGUUGCCACUGCGAUGUAUAAUGUCACAAUGUGAGAUAUAAAGUCAUAUUUAAAGGUAAAACAUCACAUUUUGAGAUAUAAAGUCAUAGUUAUGAGAUAUAAAGUCACAUUACAAGAUUUAAAGUCACACUGUGAGAUAUCAAGUCAUAAUUUGAGAUAUUUUCGUCAAAUUGUGAGAUAGAGUCCCAAUUGUGAGUCAUAUUUUGACAUAUAAAUGUAACAGGUAUACAAAGUAUAAUACUAAAUAUUGUUAUAAUUCACACAAAAUUGUUCUAUUGUACGUUUUAUGAUACCUGAUCUAAAGGUGCGCUUCUCCUUUAAGUGUUGCGUGGUCACAGUAUGACCUAAUUUCCUGUCCUAACUCCUCCUCUUCCCUUUUGAAAUGUGAUUCUAUGGAAGAGAGUGUUAUAAGGGCCACUCAAUCUGAGGCUGCUUAUUUUGUCUCUGUUAUACAGUAAAUGAUCCAGUGAAUCUGCUGCCUGCUGUCCCGUGUCUGUUUCUACACCCACACAACGUAACACAACGCAGACCAAGUUUUAAUACCCGGUGUCGCUGGCCGCACAUCACGCUGGGCAUAAGCGAGCCGCACGGGUUACAUAAAGUCACAUUAACAGAUUUAAAGUCACAUGGUGAGAUAUCAAGUCAUAAUUUGAGAUAUUUUUGCAAUUUUGAGAUAUAAAGUCAGAUUACGAAAUUUUAAGUCACACAGCGAGAUAAAAAGUUGUGAAAUAUAAAGUAAAUUGUCUGAGAUAUAGUCGCAAUUGUGAGACAGUAAGAUUUUGAGAAAGUCACAUUAUGAGAUUUAAAGUCACACUGCGAGAUAAAGUUACACUGUGAGAAAUAAAGUCAAAUUGUGAGAUAUA